ensembl:lncRNA
CUUGGUUGAACACCAGUAGCUGCUCAAAUCAACUGUCCUGAGAACCACAGAGUGGCGUGAUGCUGUUUCUUCUUCUUUUGGUGUCAUUGGUUUGCUCUGGACUGUCAGUGGAGAGCCAUGGAAAAUACUUCAUCACGGCAUUCCCAGAAAACAUUGCCUACUACCAUCCACAGGAGUCUUCCAACACUCUCCAAAUUACUGCUUUCUACGACGACACCCUCGUCUCAAUCAGCAUCAACUACACAAACGUAUAUAAUGAUAAGCUACAGUCUGGGCAGAUUAAAAUUGUACAUUUUCCCAAGUACAUCGAGCAAUAUCAGUUCACAAACUCCUCUCUUUUAGUCAAAGUCCACAGCACUGAAAAGAUCGUGGUGCAGUGGCUCAGUAAACGCGGCGAUAGCGUGCAGUCUAACGUCGUUCAACCUGUUAGAAAUCUCGGAAAGUGGUAUUCAAUCCCAUUUAUCAAUUACAAUCAGAUGAUGGCGUCCUUGUACAAUAUGUCAGAUCAGUUAGCUCCAGACAACUGGAGAUACAAUUCAUUCAGGCUGAUCAUUAUCAACGCCGAGCAUGCUGUGAACUUAAUCACUGUGCGUACUAUCAGCACGGAUGGUCAAGAAGCGUUUAACAUUACUCUCAGACCUUACGAACUUUACCAGUUCCAAACUAACGGUUCGGACAUUAAACUGUACUCUAAUGCCAUCAUGGCUGUGCUGUUAACCCAUCCGUGUGUAGAAACUACCGUAUGUGAUUGCACUAUGGUGGUGAGCCACGUUCUCCCCGAAAAGCUGUGGGGUGACACGUUUGUCGUGCCAUUGGUGAAGAACCUGAAUACAGCCUGGCUGCAAGUGACUAACACAACGGAAGUAUGGCUCAAUGGCAGGAAUAUAAAAGCUCAACAGUCCAAUUCCUCAGAGCUAAUUCCCUUCCCGGAACUUAAGAGUGCAUCUCAGUUCAUCAGUGCAUCAAAUGAGGUGUCCAUCAGACUUAUCAGUCCAGGCCUCGUCUUAGAACUCAUACCAGAAACCAUGUUCGCUGCUUGUUACCUGGUUCAGAUGAACUCGACAGAGGGUGAGGCUGUUAUCAUAGCUGAAACAGCCAGUAAGGACUAUGUGUAUAUAGACAAGAAAUUACUGAGAUCCACUGACUGGAAACCCAUUCCCUAUUCAAACUACUCUUCCAUAUCUGUGUCACUUAAUGGUGUGCAUAUCAUCUGGCACCCAACCUCCAAGAUCGGAGUGUAUAGGUUUGAGAAGAUGGAGAGUGGAAUUCCUUAUGGAAGCCCAGCUAUCAUUUUAAACGAAGACCCAGAUCAUGAUGGCUGUGUGGCAGAUUCUGCACAAUUUAAGACCACUACUGAUGUCAUGACAUGGUCCCAGUCCCGUCAUUACUGCCUAAAUAUAUCUUACCAGCUGAGCACACCAAGCAGUGAAAUGUCCCAAAAAGAGAUGACCAACUUUCUGCAAAACAAUGGAAGUCGCGGGUACCUCUGGAUCGGUCUGCGACGCAGUCAGUUCAUGUCAGAGUGGUAUUGGCAGAAAGGCAAUGACAGCGAAUACAGUGUGAACUACACGAAGUGGGCUGAUGGGCAUCCAGAUAAGCCCUGGAAAGCUUGCGCUGCUGUGUCCCAAGAUGCCAACAAGGAGUUUUCCUGGAAGAGUUUGCCCUGUUGCACCAAGCUAAGGCCCAUCUGCUACAAAGGCAAAUACUUUAGUGAUGUGACCUUUAAUACACUAUAUGAUCAUUAUAGCAUUACUUCCCCAAAUGUCUGUCCUUCUUGCCAAAAUUCUUGACCUGAAGUUAGUAACUGCAAUAAUAAAUCAUAUUACAAAAGUUUAAUCA